rnacentral:pre_miRNA from 1 species
AGUAGAAUUACUGGAUCUUAUGGUAAAUUUAUAUUUAACUUUUUAAGAAACUGCCAAAUUGUUUUGCAAAGUGGCUGCACCAUUUUGCAUUUCUACCAGCAAU